UUUGAAUAUUAUAAAAGGUACCGCCUGCCCAGUGACUAUGUGUUCAACGGCCGCGGUAUACUGACCGUGCAAAGGUAGCGUAAUCAUUUGUCUUUUAAUUGAAGACUAGUAUGAAUGGCAUCACGAGGACUAAUCUGUCUCCCUCCCCCAAUCAGUGAAACUGAUCUCCCCGUGCAGAAGCGGGGAUAAUAUCAUAAGACGAGAAGACCCUGUGGAGCUUCAAAUCAAUAAUCAACUGCUUCACCCACCCCAAAUAAAGGAUACACUCACGCAAACUUGAUUUAGAUUUUCAGCUGGGGCGUCUAUGGAGAAAAAAAAAUCCUCCAUGAAAAUUCAUGCUAAAAGCUACCGCCAUAGGCAUUAAUAUACUUAACUUUAAUUGACCCAAUUUUUGAUCAACGRACCA
rnacentral:rRNA from 1 species